CCUACGGGUGGCUGCAGUGGGGAAUAUUGGGCAAUGGGGGAAACUCUGAACCAGCAAUGCCGCGUGAAUGAAGAAGGUCUUCGGAUUGUAAAGUUCUUUAGUCAGGGAAGAAGUCCAUGACGGUACAUGAAGAAUAAGCUCCUGCUAACUAAGUGCCAGCAGCCGCGGUAAUACGUAGGGAGCAAGCGUUGUUCGGAAUGGCUGGGCGUAAAGUGUGCGUAGGCGGUUGUACAAGUUAGAAGUGAAAUACCCAGGGCUUAACUCGGGUGCGGCUGCUAAAACUGUAUGACUUGAGUGCAGUAGGGGUUAGUGGAAUUCCUAGUGUAGCGGUGGAAUGCUUAGAUAUUAGGAGGAACACCAGAGGCGAAGGCGGCUAACUGGACUGCAACUGACGCUGGGGCACGAAAGUGUGGGGAGCAAACAGGAUUAGAUACCCUGUAGUC
rnacentral:rRNA from 1 species